GUUCUGUCAUCUAGAAGUCCCCUUCUCUUUGUUUCUUCAGAGCUCAGAUUCGAUCUUCAUGGCUCGUUCUUCCAAGAACACGGCUUCGUCCUUUUAUCUUCAUCAUCGUAAGAUUCAACGUCAUCAUCCAUCUGGUUCUGAGUUUGUUACUUCCGUUCAAGGAGGAUCGUGCGCUAAAGGAUUAUUUCUCUGAGAUUGACGUCACGAUUCAUGGACGAAAAGGCCAAGACUCUUCUUUGUUUACCAAGAAUUCACAGAAUGUUCUUUCUUUGCGCAUUAUACAUGCAAGGUUUUAGCUGCCUGGGGAGGCUCCAUGGAGGCAGUGGUUGAUGGGUAUUCUUCAAGUCAGGGGUGGCAGAUAAUCUGGUUGUGUAAUCUAUUGAAACUUGGAGCGAAAUGGGAUGAAGUUGUGAUGUUGGAUGAAUGAAAUGUACUGGGAUAAAGAAACCCUUGCACAGUGGGUUGAGUCCUUGUUUUGUCAUCCGACCUUUGCCAUGACAGGUGCGCUUGCAUGGCAGGUCACACAAAUCUUAAUAAAAUUUCUGUUUUGGUGGUUUUGAGGGGCGUUCGCACGGGAUAGUCCGGGUUCUCCCCUCUGUGUGUGGUGUGUCUGCUCUCCUUUUCAUUGCCUCUAUCUCUUUUCAUUGAAUUUGCUACUAUCGUCCUAAUGCACCCCUGUGCACGUGCUUGGAUUCAUGAACUUGUUACUAUCUACCCCUAUGCACCAUAUCGGUUGGAUUCAUAAACCUGAUACUAUUUCCGGAUGCACUUGAGUGUUGGAUUCAUAACCAUCUCAGCUAGAUAAGGCCUUAAACCCAUUCUACAAUCAGAUCCUGUUGCACUAACGCAUUCUGCACUUCUACUCGAAAGAUCUGGAGGUACCGGAAUAUGGUGGCUAGCAAACCUCCAAUUCUGAUGGGUUCCAGCAACUCCCCUCGGUCCCAGGUUUGGCUCCUCUCCAGUUCAGUUCCGAUCAAACCAGCACUCAGCAACCCACAGCAAAAUAUAGCGGCAACUCUCAAACAAACAGAAAUGAAAAUGAGCAGAACUGCAGCAAUUGGUUCACCCUAAAUAUUCCAACAACACCACUAUCCAUGAACACAAGAAUAUAAAUGGAAAAGAAGAAUACAGCAUCAUAUUGCACUCAAAGAGCUCCAGAAAUAAUAGUCAUUACAGUAGCCAUCAGAGUGUGUAAUUGUAUCUGAAAAUGGAAACGACUGAAGAAAAAGGAAAAAUAUGUUAGCUGGGUUUCCAGAGCCAACCCACUCUAACUGUAAUACAAUAAAUCAAACUCAAUAAAAGGAUUUAUUCUUCUCUACCCUUCUUUGCCUACUAUUAUUUCCUUUAUUUACUGGAUAUUCUCAUAUCAGAAUCGUGGUCCCGCACUCCUCAUGUGCUGCUACCCAUAUCUCUUGGAGGCGUUAAUUCAACAAACUCUAAACCAGCAACUGAAUUUCUCUACUGAUUUAGCUGUUGGAUUUCUUGGACCGUCUCUACAAAAUUUUACUUUGAAUUAAAUUACUAAAACAAAACUGGAAUCUGCUAUUGCUUCUUCUUUUAUUGGAUUAUAAACAUUCAACUAGUUGUUUGAAGCAUUGAAGAGAAAGAUGGUUGGACCAGAGAGGCCUCAGUUUGUGCUGUUUGGGUUCAAUUCUGGCUGACAUUGGUGUUCGUAUGGAUGCUGCUGUAUAUCCUGCAUUGGUAAUCUUGCCUGAAUAUAUGGAAAACAUGAGUUCAUCUCAAGAGCCUAGCAGCUCUG